UACGGAGGGUGCAAGCGUUAAUCGGAAUUACUGGGCGUAAAGCGCACGCAGGUGGCUGAGUCAGUCGAUUGUGAAAGCCCUGGGCUUAACCUGGGAAUUGCAGUCGAUACUACUCAGCUAGAGUAUGGGAGAGGGUAGUGGAAUUCCCGGUGUAGCGGUGAAAUGCGUAGAUAUCGGGAGGAACAUCAGUGGCGAAGGCGGCUACCUGGCCCAAUAC
rnacentral:rRNA from 1 species